CGGCGUGCUUAACACAUGCAAGUCGAACGGUGAACACGGAGCUUGCUCUGUGGGAUCAGUGGCGAACGGGUGAGUAACACGUGAGCAACCUGCCCCUGACUCUGGGAUAAGCGCUGGAAACGGCGUCUAAUACUGGAUAUGUGACGUGACCGCAUGGUCUGCGUCUGGAAAGAAUUUCGGUUGGGGAUGGGCUCGCGGCCUAUCAGCUUGUUGGUGAGGUAAUGGCUCACCAAGGCGUCGACGGGUAGCCGGCCUGAGAGGGUGACCGGCCACACUGGGACUGAGACACGGCCCAGACUCCUACGGGAGGCAGCAGUGGGGAAUAUUGCACAAUGGGCGCAAGCCUGAUGCAGCAACGCCGCGUGAGGGACGACGGCCUUCGGGUUGUAAACCUCUUUUAGCAGGGAAGAAGCGAAAGUGACGGUACCUGCAGAAAAAGCGCCGGCUAACUACGUGCCAGCAGCCGCGGUAAUACGUAGGGCGCAAGCGUUAUCCGGAAUUAUUGGGCGUAAAGAGCUCGUAGGCGGUUUGUCGCGUCUGCUGUGAAAUCCGGAGGCUCAACCUCCGGCCUGCAGUGGGUACGGGCAGACUAGAGUGCGGUAGGGGAGAUUGGAAUUCCUGGUGUAGCGGUGGAAUGCGC
rnacentral:rRNA from 1 species